rnacentral:rRNA from 1 species
AGUGAACGCUGGCGGUAGGCCUAACACAUGCAAGUCGAACGGCAGCACAGGAGAGCUUGCUCUCUGGGUGGCGAGUGGCGGACGGGUGAGGAAUACAUCGGGAUCUACUCUGUCGUGGGGGAUAACGUAGGGAAACUUACGCUAAUACCGCAUACGACCUACGGGUGAAAGCAGGGGACCUACGGGCCUUGCGCGAUUGAAUGAGCCGAUGUCGGAUUAGCUAGUUGGCGGGGUAAAGGCCCACCAAGGCGACGAUCCGUAGCUGGUCUGAGAGGAUGAUCAGCCACACUGGAACUGAGACACGGUCCAGACUCCUACGGGAGGCAGCAGUGGGGAAUAUUGGACAAUUGGCGCAAGCCUGAUCCAGCCAUACCGCGUGGGUGAAGAAGGCCUUCGGGUUGUAAAGCCCUUUUGUUGGGAAAGAAAUCCAGCUGGCUAAUACCCGGUUGGGAUGACGGUACCCAAAGAAUAAGCACCGGCUAACUUCGUGCCAGCCGCCGCGGUAA